rnacentral:rRNA from 1 species
GACGAACGCUGGCGGCGUGCUUAACACAUGCAAGUCGAACGGAAAGGCCUCUUUCGGGGGGUACUCGAGUGGCGAACGGGUGAGUAACACGUGAGUAACCUGCCCUUGACUUUGGGAUAACUUCAGGAAACUGGGGCUAAUACCGGAUAGGAGCUACUGCUGCAUGGUGGGGGUUGGAAAGUUUCGGCGGUUGGGGAUGGACUCGCGGCUUAUCAGCUUGUUGGUGGGGUAGUGGCUUACCAAGGCUUUGACGGGUAGCCGGCCUGAGAGGGUGACCGGCCACAUUGGGACUGAGAUACGGCCCAGACUCCUACGGGAGGCAGCAGUGGGGAAUAUUGCACAAUGGGUGGAAGCCUGAUGCAGCAACGCCGUGUGCGGGAUGACGGCCUUCGGGUUGUAAACCGCUUUCGCUCAUGACGAAGCUUUGUGUGACGGUAGUGGGUAAAGAAGCACCGGCUAGCUACGUG